AUGACUUUGGCAAGCAUUAAAUCUACACGCGUAGCACGAGGGUGUCGACGAUCCCCUGCUUCUCCCCCUCCAACCUCCAUCUCAGAUCUCGGUAAUGGAAGGGCCUUUUGUGUGAGGGAGCACAUGGCGGCGGCAAUCGCAGGUGGCGACGAGGCGAAGAUGGCGAGCCUCCACGAGAUCUGUGGGCGGUACAAGGAUGCAGAGGAGAUGCAUCAGGCAUCACAUCAGGUGGUUAAAGAGGCCUCAGAGGAGGAGCAAAGUUGGAUCUCAUGGAAGGCCCCACUCGAGAUCCUCUAUUGGGCAAUGAUGGAGGCGGAAUCCAACGAUCCAGAGCGGCGCGCUCGGUGGUACCGCAAUGCGUCGUACGACUGGGUUUCAUCCCAUCCGGUCUGGGAUGAUGUGCAGGGGGUGACAAUGACGAUGGGGUCGCCGCCACGCUACCCGACGAUGUCCGUCGUGACUGGCGACGAUGUGCGGGUGCUGCCAAGACAAAAUGUUGUGUGGGUGGUUUCACAGUUGUCUCGUCGCUCCCCUCGGUUCCCCAGUGUUCUACGUGGAUCCAGGCGCUUGCACAGAGCGCCGCCGAUGAGUAGGCGUCUUCCUGGCAGUCAGUCAAUUAUGGAUGCUGCCGAGGAGGAGUCGAGGACUCCUACGAUCGUUUUGCUGCUUCAUUUUCCAAUAAAGGGAGGGACAUCAAAGGGUGUUGACGCUAGGAGCAAAAAUCAUGGAGUAGGUGGCAGGUGA
rnacentral:rRNA from 1 species